UACAGAGGGUGCGAGCGUUAAUCGGAAUUACUGGGCGUAAGCGCACGUAGUCGGCUUUGCAAGUCGGGUGUGAAAUCCCCGGGCUCAACCUGGGAACUGCAUCCGAGACUGCAUUGCUAGAGUAUGGGAGAGGGAAGCGGAAUUUCUGGUGUAGCAGUGAAAUGCGUAGAUAUCAGGAGGGAACACCGAUGGCGAAGGCAGGUCUCUGGGCUGACACUGACGCUCGAUGCACGAAAGCG
rnacentral:rRNA from 1 species